rnacentral:rRNA from 1 species
ACUUGGCGGCGUGCUUACACAUGCAAGUCGAACGAUGAACCGGUUUCGGCCGGGGAUUCCUGGCGAACGGGUGAGUAACACGUGGGCAAUCUGCCCUGCACUCUGGGACAAGCCCUGGAAACGGGGUCUAAUACCGGAUAUGAUCACCGGCCGCAUGGUCUGGUGGUGGAAAGCUCCGGCGGUGCAGGAUGAGCCCGCGGCCUAUCAGCUUGUUGGUGGGGUGAUGGCCUACCAAGGCGACGACGGGUAGCCGGCCUGAGAGGGCGACCGGCCACACUGGGACUGAGACACGGCCCAGACUCCUACGGGAGGCAGCAGUGGGGAAUAUUGCACAAUGGGCGAAAGCCUGAUGCAGCGACGCCGCGUGAGGGAUGACGGCCUUCGGGUUGUAAACCUCUUUCAGCAGGGAAGAAGCGUGAGUGACGGUACCUGCAGAAGAAGCACCGGCUAACUACGUGCCAGCAGCCGCGGUAAUACGUAGGGUGCGAGCGUUGUCCGGAAUUAUUGGGCGUAAAGAGCUCGUAGGCGGCUUGUCGCGUCGGAUGUGAAAGCCCGGGGCUUAACCCCGGGUCUGCAUUCGAUACGGGCAGGCUAAAGUUCGGUAGGGGAAAUCGGAAUUCCUGGUGUACGGUGAAAAUGCGCAGAUAUCAGGAGGAACACCGGGUGGCGAAGCGGAUCUCUGGGCCGAUACUGAC